GACAGAGGGUGCAAACGUUGUUCGGAAUUACUGGGCGUAAAGCGUGCGCAGGCGGUUUGCUAAGACAGGUGUGAAAUCCCCGGGCUUAACCUGGGAACUGCGCUUGUUACUGGCAGGCUUGAGUGUGGCAGAGGGGGGUGGAAUUCCACGUGUAGCAGUGAAAUGCGUAGAGAUGUGGAGGAACACCGAUGGCGAAGGCAGCCCCCUGGGCUAACACUGACGCUCAUGCACGAAAGCGUGGGGAGCAAACAGG
rnacentral:rRNA from 1 species